GCUUGAGCAAGUCGAAGCUGUCACUGUAGGAUUUUUCUAUGUCACUUAAAAACAUUUCCGUCAGGUGUUAGUGAUGACAUUUCAACUGUUUUUUUCUUCAUCGUUGCAAGGUAUGUGGCUGGAACUGGCCUGGUACCCAUGUGGACGGUCCUUUUGUACCCAGGGGGAGGAGUCAAGAAAUCUAUCUUCCAGCAUCCUGGCCAAAACUGAAGAAGCUUCUGGCAGGGAAAACAUGGCAAAUUGUUGGAAGAAGUCAAAACAUAUUGUGAAGAAUCCUGUUUAAGUUACUUUGGGGAGGCAAAGGAAUUUACAAUAUAUGCUUCACCAUUUGAAACUCAUUUUUACUUGGCAUGGUGUGAAGAUUUUUCGUUACCAACCUAAUUUCUACUGAAAGAAGUAUCCUAAUGUAAGGUACAUGUUGGUGAAGACCAAGAAGAAGGACUGUAAGACAUAACAUACCCAUAAACAUAAUGCAACAUUCCAACAUUCAAACUCUGAUCACAUAAAAGGUAGAUAUUAAAGCUGUUUGGGUAAAUUUUGCAAAGGAAAAAACAAAAUGGAGUUCUGGUUAUUGAUAUUAUGACUAACACCAUCAAAAUUCCUUCUCCCCCUACUUUUGAGCUAAAAUAUGACGUGUGUGAGUAAUUAGUCACAUGUCUUCUUCUUGAGUACCUUCCUCCUUUCUACUUAAAUCUGGCUGACUAGUAAAGAUUCCAGAAUAAUAAAGAAUAUUAACAUCAUUGUACCACCAAAUGUAUUGCUCGGUAAGACAAUUUCACUUAUUGGAUUAAUAUUGGAAUUCUCUAUGCUGUUAGUAUUAGAGGUUUCAUCAUUCCUGCUGAGAUUGUCACAAAGAGAAUAAAUCAGGGAUAGCAUGAUAAAAUAUGGAGUUUAAUCUUUUUAAGACUAAACCAUGGGACUAAAGAUCCUUUCUGUAACUAACCUCUGAAGUACCAUAGACUGAAAUUAUUCAGUUAGUUCACUGCAAUCUCUAUUUAGCAGAACCAAUUCAUUAAGGAUAACUAUAUUUAUAUAAGUCCAAACAUUAGCUGCAGUGAUAAAAAUAUAACAUAUCUGAACUUUCUGUUUUCAUGAUGAGGAAAAGGGAGAGAAGGAAGGAAACAGACCAAAUGGAACUGACUGGCUCACCAGUUUCAAGAUUAGAUAAACAAUCUGCCAGUGUACCUGUACCACUGAUACAUACUCUGCCUCUCUGAAUAAAAUUAUAACAGCUGAUAGAUUUUGGCUAGCCCAACUGAUUGUUCCCACCUUCAUAGAAGAAUAGAUGCCACUAAUGCUAUGCUCUCUCUUCAGUGCAAUUUGCAUAUAUACAUAUCCUAUUAGUGUGACAAUAACUGCUUCUUUUAUAUAUAUAUAUAUAUAUAAUUUUUUUUAUUUGAAAGUACAAACUAAACAAAACAAAUCACGACAAAACAUACAAAACAUGUAAACAUAUAAACAAAAAUUCAGAUAUAUAUCAAGUUUAUAGUAACUGUACUUUAUGUUCAUAUUUGUGCUUUUGACUCCUUAAUAUUAUUAGUCUAUCUCUUAUGUCUAUUUUGGUGGUUCAUUGUUAACCUAUAUUUGUCUGAAUUUUCCUUUCUCUGCCUUCCAACCAGGUGUACCACUUUUCCCAUACUAAAUAGUAAUCGUGUUCUUCUCUAUUUUGUAAUUCCUUUGUGAGUCUAUCCAUUUCUGCACAUUCCAUGAUUUUAUUGAUUACUUUUCCUUCAAUUGGUAUGUUGCUGCUUUUCCAUUGUUGUGCAAAAACUAUUCGCGCUGCUGUCAUUAUGUGAAUAAUUAAGUAUUUGAUUUCCUUUUCAUAUUAUCCAUUUAUUAUACCUAAUAGAAAGGUUUCUGGCCUCAUCUCUAUUCUUUGCUGGGUUAUUUCUUCUAUUUGUUUUCUGAUCAUUAGUCAAUAUUGUUUUGCCAUUGGGCAGGUCCACCACAUGUGGUAAUACGUCCCUUUGUGGAGUUUACAUUUUCAGCAUGUUGAGGGAGUGUUGGGGAACAUUCUUGCCAAUCUAGCAGGUGGGAGGUGCCACCUAUAAAACAUUUUGUAUAAAUUUUCUAUGUAGGGUACAGACAUUGUUAAUUUAUAAUUUAUUGUCCAUAAUUUUUCCCAAUUGUCUAAUUCAAUGUUGUAGCCGAAAUUCUU